rnacentral:rRNA from 1 species
GACGAACGCUGGCGGCGUGCUUAACACAUGCAAGUCGAACGGAAAGGCCCUGCUUGCUGGGUACUCGAGUGGCGAACGGGUGAGUAACACGUGGGUGAUCUGCCCUGCACUUCGGGAUAAGCUUGGGAAACUGGGUCUAAUACCGGAUAGGAGCCAUCUUUAGUGUGGUGGUUGGAAAGUUUUUUCGGUUUAGGAUGAGCUCGCGGCCUAUCAGCUUGUUGGUGGGGUAAUGGCCUACCAAGGCGGCGACGGGUAGCCGGCCUGAGAGGGUGUACGGCCACAUUGGGACUGAGAUACGGCCCAGACUGCGACGGGAGGCAGAAGUGGGGAAUAUUGCACAAUGGGCGCCAGCCUGAUGCAGCGACGCCGCGUGGGGGAUGAAGGCCUUCGGGUUGUAAACUCAUUUCGCUAGUGACGAAGCUUUUUGUGACGGUACCUAGAGAAGAAGCACCGGCUAACUACGUG